CGCCCGGUCCCCUUCCCAUGUCCCCCGUCCUCCCUCGGUUCUCGUGGACGCUCGCGGGCGGGGACAUCCCGGUGCUUGCGGGCGGCGGGCCGCGAGGGAGGGAUUGCCGGGUUCGCGUGCGCCCGCCGGCCCGGGUUCUGAGGGGAACGAGGCGGGGUCGCGGCCAGGUUUGGGGCCGGAAUGGCGGCGAGGCGCGGCCCGGGAUGGCGGCGGCUGAGGGCACAGCCCGGCCGAGCUGUCAGCGGCGGCGAGAGGACCGGGCACACCCAUCCCACACGUUCCCCUCCCCCUCCGGCUGCCCGCGGGCUCUAGAGGCCCCGGGGCGCGGGGUGGGGGGACGUAUGGUCAGGACCGGGGUCGGAGGCCGGGGGCUGUCUCUGCGCUGUGGGCCUCGACUUCCUGCUUCCCGGGCUCCGCCGCGGACGCGUUGCGGCUGGCGGGGGAGGGGAGCGGAACUGCGGCCG
rnacentral:lncRNA from 1 species